GUUGGUUAUGGUGAUAUGACUCCACAUACAGCACUUGGUCGUUUAGUUGGAAGUUUAUGCGCAGUAAUGGGCGUACUUACUAUUGCAUUACCCGUGCCAGUUAUUGUUAGCAAU
rfam:Dracunculus medinensis genome assembly, scaffold: DME_scaffold0000090